GUCUACGGCCAUGCCACCCUGAACAAACCUGAUCCUGUCUGAUCUCGGAAGCUAACUAGGGUCGGGCCUGGUUAGUACUUGGAUGGGAGACCGCCUAGGAAGACCAGGUGCUGUAGGUG
rnacentral:rRNA from 1 species